rnacentral:rRNA from 1 species
UGGGCAACCUGCCUGUAAGACUGGGAUAACUUCGGGAAACCGGAGCUAAUACCGGAUAAUCCUUUUCCUCUCAUGAGGAAAAGCUGAAAGACGGUUUACGCUGUCACUUACAGAUGGGCCCGCGGCGCAUUAGCUAGUUGGUGAGGUAACGGCUCACCAAGGCGACGAUGCGUAGCCGACCUGAGAGGGUGAUCGGCCACACUGGGACUGAGACACGGCCCAGACUCCUACGGGAGGCAGCAGUAGGGAAUCUUCCGCAAUGGACGAAAGUCUGACGGAGCAACGCCGCGUGAGUGAUGAAGGUUUUCGGAUCGUAAAACUCUGUUGUUAGGGAAGAACAAGUACAAGAGUAACUGCUUGUACCUUGACGGUACCUAACCAGAAAGCCACGGCUAACUACGUGCCAGCAGCCGCGGUAAUACGUAGGUGGCAAGCGUUGUCCGGAAUUAUUGGGCGUAAAGCGCGCGCAGGCGGUCCUUUAAGUCUGAUGUGAAAGCCCACGGCUCAACCGUGGAGGGUCAUUGGAAACUG